UCUGCCUGUGAGAAUUUUGGAGGUGAUUACUCAGCUUCUAACCUCUUCUGCUUUAUUGUUUGUGCCGUUCUCCGUUUGCCAAUCAAAUAAUUCUGCUGCUGGGCCCCCCCCCUUUUUUCGUAUGGUGCAUCCCGUAGCAACAGUACAUUUGGCUGCAACCAUUCCGAACGGAGACCCAUCUCUCUAUGCCAGGGGAGGGGGGGGAAGCACCACAAAGAACAUUGAGAUGAAUUACUCCAUUUUAUGAGCCAUAAAAGUUUUAUUCAUCUUGACACUGAAACAGGUUUAGGCAGUGAGUUGACACGCCUUAAAUAAAUAAGUGGAAUUAAUUCCCCUGCUCUUGAAACAAUAGGAGCAUGCCUGUACAGCGGGACAGCUGCCCACGUUGUUUCUCGUUGCAGCUUGAUAUUGAUAUUAUUUGUGUGUGUUUCUGCGCAUCUUCCUCUGGGGUCCGCUUGAUCCACUUCAGAUUCUUAGCCUGUUUUAUUAGAGGUUGGAAAAGGUUCAAGACCUGGUUGUACCAGCGCUCCCACCGACAGCUCAGGAACCAGUUUGGCGUCUGGUUUGUCUGUUGUUUUACUGCUGACCUUCAAAUCAACUUUCACCCCUGACCCUCGGAGACAUCUAUCAUGACAAGAAGCUGUUUAACACAAAUGGUGCCCAUUUAUAGGGGAAGAGAGUCCGAAAAUUUCCUUUUUAUGAAGAAUUGGGGGGGGGUGCGCUGCGUUGUGUGAAAUGCCUCCUAGCAGCUGGCUUAUGAAAUAAUGUGAGGGGAGGCCUUAAUGAGCUGAAAGCACUCUCAGCUGGAGAUAAAUAUAUGCAAAUGAGAUGCACAAACAAAGGCGCCUGGACAGAGAAAUAUCUGCAAUUCCGGCAAAAUGCUGCCUGCAGCUCGAAGAUGAACAGCUUUGAUAAAAUGGUAACAGAAAGCACCUUUUUAUCCCGCAGCUUGUUUUACAUUGCAAUAGUGACAUUGUCAUUGUGACCCAUCGGAGCAGGGCAGAGGUUUCUGCGCUGUUUGGAGCAGGGGGGGACAAGGGGGUGGGAGUCUUUAAACACUUGUUUUUAAGACAUUCAUGAAAUAUAAUCAAUGUGCUUAUUUUGUUUUGGAAAUGGGUAUUUAUUUUUUUUCUCGCUGGAGAUGGUCAGGUUUAUUUUACCUCUUCUUUGAGGACACUGCAUUCAAUACUGUGUUGUUUUGGGUUAUUUCACCUGCCAGUAAAUGUUGCUGCAUAAGGAAGAUUAAUUUGUUGUUUGAGAUUUUACGGGGAGAAAACUCCCAAGUGGACAGCUAGUGAGAAUCAGCAUUGGGGCAAGAGAAGGUGUGGAGAAAACAGGCACUUUAAACGUUUGCGGGGAAAGCACCCAAACAGGCAACAUUAAUGAAGGCAAUCACGUCUCUAAAUUCAAAGACAGACAUGGAACAUGCUGAUUUUAAUAAGCUUUUAAAGGCAGUCUCUAACUUUCCAAAGGCUUCCUUUGCAAUGUGAUUGUUUGGGAUUCAUAUAUUGCCAAACACAUUCACUUAAAUAUGUUUCCAAAGCAUACGGUGGAAGUACCAUAUCUUUAAGAAAACGUGUUGGCUUAACGUCUGAACUUUUUGCAGAUUUAAGGACAUUCUCAGAACAACACACUCUGCAUGACUGAGCCAUGUAAAGUUUAACUUCAACCCAUCUAUUUUUGCUUAGCAAUUUUUGAUAUUUAAAUCCUCGUUGGAUAUAAAAAUAUAAUUUAGAAGCUUGUAAAAAAAAAGUUGCAUGAAUCAGUAAUGUAUAAAUCUAAACAUAAUAUACUGGUACCUAACCUUGUAAAUGAUACUUUUAUAUGGACUUGUUCAUUCAGGAAUUGUCCUUCAAUUUUUUGUACAUAGAAAAAAAAUCAUUUUAAAGUCUGGGUGUUUGCAGCUGCUACUACGAAAGUUCCAAAUUUUGGAGUCUCAAAUCAUUCCCCUCACCACACACACAUUUAGUUAUCUGUUUGGGAGAGCUUCAAAAAAAUUUUAAUACAGUCAUAUAGAUACAGAUGAAAAUAAGCAUUUCCACGUGCCUUGUGCCUGUGUACACAUGUAUGUGAUAUUUUCAUAGCAUACAAUACUCUCUUAUUAAUCCUAGUUUCUGUGUCUUUGGAGCUUCAAGAGUUAAACGAAGCCUGGGUGUAUUAAGGAGGUUUUCUCCUCCCACCCAGGUUUGAAGCGACUGCAUUAUUACAUUCAGUUGCUGUUGUUUAGAAAGGGCAAACAGCAUCUUAGGCACAGAACGAUGAAAUUACAGCUGAGAUUUAGGUUAGCAAAAGCAGCCUUCCGCAGGCUUUUAUGAUUCAUUAUUUCCCAUUAAAUACAGUAUUAGAAAUGUACACCAGAUAGCUCAUGGUUGCUGCUCUCAGAGCACAUUAUCUAUAUUACACAGGCCUGGGGAGCAGAAUUAGAAAACUUUUGGGGAAUGAGCAAUAUGUGUUUGCUGAUAGAAGUACCAUAUGGCUCAUCUUCAUCAAUUGCUUUCAUUGCGACUCGGAUGCUGAAGAAAUUAAAGUUUUAUUUGAUGUGGCACAGCUUAAUGAACUGUCUUCUGUUAGGAAAAUUGAAUAUGUUUCCUGUUAUUUGAGUGCAGAGCCCUCACGGUUUGCAGCUGAUGAGGGAUGCAUUAUGUAUUGUUUAUUUAGCAUUUUAAAAACAAAAGCAAAAAUCCUGAAGAAAAAACUGUUUUGCAUUGAAGUUAUAUUUUCAAAUUUUUAUCCGUGUAUUGCUUUACCUCAUCCUCACAUUCAAUUUAUUUUCUGCUUAUUGUUUAAAUGCCAGAAUGAUUGUAUGUUUUAAAAUGGUCUUUGAUAUGCAGUGUAUAUUAUAUAUCUUGUCUAAUUCCCACAUUAUCAUUUUUAAGGAAUAUAGAAUCACCAUUAAUAAGAAGGAAACACAUCUUAUCAGUUUGAUUUGCUUAACUUUUGAUGACGUUGUUUCCAUCCCACCACGACUGAGGAGUUUUAAAUGCUUCAGCAGUUUGUGUUGAGAUCUGGUUUCUAUGAACAUAAAUGCCAAAAAUGGGACAAAGGAAAAAUCUAUAUGACUGUCCCCAGAACUCUGAAAAUGUCUGAACAUUUUCUAAAGGAGACAUCUGUGGAUUGCAAGACAUUGUUAUAAAGUUGCACCAAGCUGUUAAUGGCAACAUGGUCAAAAUGGUAAGGGAAUAUAAUGAAACUAUUAUCCAAUGGUCUCUUUCCAUUCAGGUUAAUUAAGUUCCAGCAACAGAGAUGAAUUUGGCAUAAAAACUGUAAAUAUAAAACGUUUAAAAUGGUGAGAAGCAAUCAAACACAAAAGAUAACGUUUGACAUUUGUAGCAAAGUUGUAUAUUACGGUAGUUAAGUCACUAAUUAGUGGCUCAACACAGACAUGUUUUAAUUUGGGGGGGGGAGAGGCAUUUGAAUAACUGGAAAUUUUCCAAGGUCUUUGAGAGUCAGCUUUGAUCAAAGAAAAGGAACCCCCCUCCUUCUCCUAAAGCUUUUCUGUACUUGCAUAUCAACCAUAAAUAAAUAAACUUUAAAAAUGAAAACGUUUAGAUGAGCCCAUUUUUCCACAUCUUGCAACACUCGAGAGUUAUUUUUUCAAAUGUAAAAAGCUAUUUGUCACUUGCCUCUUCCGGUUUUUAAUUAUUUAUUUUAUUUUUGAUGGAAUCUGGCAAAUACUACCAUUAUACAAAUUCUGUUGGAAUCCAAAUACUAUCCAUUAAAAGAACACUUUCUGUUAUGUUUAUAGUAUUUGUGCCAAAACUUGCAGCUUUUGCUCAGGAAAACUUUUACGACUGACAUCACAAGGCAGUUCAUAUGAGGAGUGUCUUUGUCUUUUGCUGAAUAGCUGUUGGGCAAUUCCAGGAUACUACAUAGAAACCUGUCUUGGAGAAGAAAUGGUGAUAUCCUCCUUUGUUUUUCGUGCUACACUUGCCAUCUUUAAGCAGUCACAACUGUCUUUCCCUGUGAUCUAGAAUUAACUAAAUUGCAAUGAAACAGACGCAAACAUGCAGAGCAAGGGCUGCUGAAGCCACACAAAAAGUUUGGUUUAAAACAGUGGCGUUUCUUAGUGAAGAAGAUGGCGCGUUUUAUGAAACCCUGUUCCAUGACAGGCACCUCCUUUGAGGAACACUAUUAUGCAUUGUUAUCAGCGCGGUGUAAUUUGACUGUUGACAAAGUAUCUGUGGCAGUGAGAAUGAAAGCAGUUAGAAGUGUGUCGGAUUGUAAUCAAAAAGAUGCUUAGCUGUGCAACGCUGCUUCUUGAGCAGAUUUGAAUCAACAUUGCCUUGAGGGGACAUGCACAUACAAAAAAAAAAGUCCAUUAAUUUUUAGUGAGAAAAUUAGAGUGGCACUUGAUGAAGUGAAAUUUGACAUGCGUUAAUUGCUCCACAGCUCUUCUAAUUAGAGAUUUUCAAAUUCUUUUACUCCUGUCAAAGUGAUGCCACAUUGUCUUAGUGGACAAAGAGUAAAAUUGCAAAUUGGGCGGAUCAACAUGGAGUAAUAAGACUUGCUUGUGCUUUAUUUUGCUAAUGUCAGGAUUUGAAUUUUGUGGCUCUGCUUACAAAAGUGAGGCAGGAAACUAACAGAGAAAAGAGCAUUUUGUUGCAACAUAUAUAUGUACAAUAAAACAACUUUCAGUUGCUGUCUCAUCAAACCUGAAUGGAAAAGGAAAAAUACAAUGUACUGAAUUUUGAACUACACCUUCUUAGCCUAAUUCACGGCUUAGUAAAUAUGAAUUGCUGCUAUAUUGAAUUUAACAGGGUUAAACCUGAUGUAAGUCACAGUAUCCACUUCAACUGGGCUGUGGAUCAGGCUGCUAAUAGCUUAUCUUAAGCCGUAUGACCUCUUCAAUUCGAUUUUUGUCUGUAUUAAAACAAAUAGGGAAGUGCAGGGGACGCAUUGGUUCUUAAUGUACAUUUUAAAUAUGCAGUUUAAUAACUGAAGACAAACAAGAAUACAGUGAAAUUCGCAUUUUCUCUAGGGCAGAAACACAAGUAAGCUGAACCAUGCCUCUGGUGUUAUCUUGUGAAAUAGUAAAUGUACAGUAUUGCAAAUGCAAAAUGGAUCUUAAAGGGUGAUUUUAAAGAUGCUGCUCUUUGCUAGCCCUUGAACCCUUUCUUAAUUCAUUAACUUAUUGAAUUUUUUUUUUCAAUUUUCCAUUUUCGUGCAAUAACAAUAUUAAUGCUAGGGCCAAGGCUUGAUUGGAGCUAAAUUACUUGUUACCUGCUGGCAUUUAUUUAUAUGGCAUUGAAUUAUAAAGCUUUGCUAUUGUCAUGCCUUGGGCGAAUUGUUUAUGACACCAGUAAUAGGAGUAAUUGUUAUUGUUGAAAUUACCUGUCAGCUCCCCAUAGCAGUGGCCCUUGUCCCACUGACAAAUAGUGACAGGGGAGAGGGAUCCUCCACGCGUCCUCCUGAUGACUUCUCCUCUGAUAAUAAAGAGUGCAGGGCCUCUGAUAAUUUGCCUGUCACUGCUGAGUGUGGCUUAGAGAGAGUUGGCCAAAUUGUUGUCAUUCACUUUGACAAAGACAGCAAAAUGCUCUUGAGCAGGAGGGAGGUUUAUCAAAAUAAAUGAAAUUGCUUACACAUCCUUUGUUUAGAUUCCACCCCCUUCCCAGUGCCUUUGUAUGAGCCUUUUAAAAUUGCAAUACAUUUCUUAUCAUGGCUACUCGAAUCCUCUGCGUGCCACAAGAAGAAGCCUUUGGCAACUUGCUGUCUGCUAAGCAAGAAAUAUUCUCAAAAGGCGAAUCCACCCAGAAUGCAAGCACUGAACUAUAUAUAAUUGCAUGUGGAAAUGCAAAUGUAAACUUUUAAACAAUAAAAAUUGGCUAUGAAGGUGUAUUAUUAAAGUGAAAGAACAGCAAAUCCAUUCCUUUUUCCUUCCAUGAGGGAUCUUGCAACCUUCCAUCCUUGUCAAGGGAGAUUGGACGAAUCACUUUUACUGUUCUAAAUAAGGCAAUGCAAUGUUAAGAAAAACGUCAGAAACAAAUCUCUCCGGAUUAAAGUAACAUUUCUGCAUCAUGUCAGCCUCAAUAGCCAUGCUUAAUUUUUUGCAUAAAUUUGGUGAGCUAUUCCUUGCUUAAUGUUCAACAUAUAAACAAACAACAAUUAUUAUUAUAUGUUUAAGAUUGCUGUGGAUGAUAAUACACAGUGAGCAUUGUUGUUUUUCUAACCUUGUGUUAUUUUUCAGGAUGCAUUUUGUUAUAGGCUAUAAAUAAACUGUAAACUAUACAAUAACCCAUAAAAGAAACUUUAUGUAAUUUAAUAUGAAUGUGCAGCUUAGGGAGGAAAGGAGGGGGAUGAUAAGUUCCCCCCCCCCAAGUUACUCCCAUGUUAUUUUUUUGAAUAAACUGGAUUAACUGUACUUAGAACAGCAGAUAAGGAACAUAUUUCUGUUGGCUGAAAACAUUCUUGAGGAUUUACACAAUCAUUGCAAUGCGUUUAUGAUUUUGGAGCUGCGUUUUCAUAUUUAUGGAGUAUGGAGCACACAUAUAAUAAAGAACAUUCACCUACCAAAAUCUGGAAUAAGAAGUUCAUAAAUUUAAAAAACGUAAAAUUACAUUUUAAAAAGGGCUCCCUCCCUCCCCCGCCCCAUGAAUCCAUGCUGAGAGCACCUGCUCUAACUCCUGAUUUGUUGUAACCUAAAUCUUCUACAGAAGUACAGACUCUGAAGCAUCAGGCUUGCGAAAUUAUAGAUAAUAGUAAAACCAAAUGGCAAACAAAAUAUAAGGUUGACUCUUUUAGGCAAAUGGGUUUCAGUGGCCAAUUCUUCCCCCCCCCAGCCCUGCUGCCCUAAAAAAUGAGAGGUGUUUUUUUUAAAAAAAUAAAAAAAGAAUUUAGACAAAUUUGCCUCUUAACCUUUAAAGAUUUUCUGCCUAUGCCUGUAUGUCCUUUAUUGCAUUAAUUUUUUAUUUAAAUUACACCAUUAACUGGAUAUGAAUUUAUCAAGAAUACAUAUAUUGAUUUAUAAAACACUAUCAUUAAUUAUUAUAAUAGCUAGAUGUGGCUGGUAUUACAAAGCCAUUUAAAGGUUUUUAAUAUAACUCGGACAUACAUAGAUAGAUAGACAUUAUGGACAAGACUACAAUUUAAACUGGCUACCAACAGUUAAUGAAAUCCAUGAUUUAUAUUCUGCUUGAGAGACUGAUUAGGUUGUUGCUUUGUAAAACUAUUUACUUUUGUGUCAUUUUUCAAAGAACGUCUCAUUUAAAAAAGAAGAAGCCAAAUAAAAUAUCAUCCCAAAUUCACCCAAUAGUGGUUUAAAUGCUGGGAAUAUUUUAUAAUAGGAGUUUGGAUAUGUAUCCUACAUGCACAUUCCAAUUUUAGUGUUCUGUACAAUUUCACAUGCUCCUCUGCUGAAACAAUUUUCUCUUUGGUUUUAAAAGAUUAUCACAUGUAUCUUACUCUGUAAAGUGCCCUGCUGAUAUAGAUUUCCUAGGGUAUACAGAGAUAUAAAUAUAGAUAUAAUUUUAAAUUGUGGAAAAAAAUGGGACUUACCCAAAUGCUGCAUAACAGACAGUCACAGAAAAGAGUUUGAUUUAAAUUGCAAUCUGAAACAAAGAGGAAGGGAGGCACAAAUAAGGAAUGAUCUAAAGAAGGCCAAAGCAUAGAAGACUUUCAUAUUUCUGACAGUGCGUGAGUCAGUUAUGCAGCAAAGCUUUACAUCUUUUCAUUUUCAGUGUUUCUGAGCUGCUUGGUCGCAUGAAUCUCUGUAUAUGAAACACUCCUUUCUGAAAAACGUGUGUUACCGGUAUACUGUGCUUUUGCCGUCAGCUAGGCAAACCUAAAAGCUAUCUGAGGAGAUUAUCUUCAUCUGAUGAGUCUAACAAUUGUCAGCCAUCCCUUAGGGUUAACCAAUAGGCUCUUUCCAGGCUAUCCUAUGUAUUAACCAUUCUGAUGCUGAAAUGUUUUUUUAAUAUAUAUUUAUGGCAUUUGGCCUUUCCCCAGGCAUGGUGUGUUGGUUUAUAUGUAUGCAGAACCCAGUUAAGUUAAAAGACUACUUCCUUGCAUGUGUCUUCAGCCAUCAUGUGACUUAGGCAUAUGCCUUGAGUGUUUUAACGAACCAGCCAGCUUCCGCUCAACUCUCUCCAAAUUAUCUGACCUUAAAUAAAAUGCGAACUCUUACAACUUGAUUCUUUUCUUUCCAGGUGAUAUUAAUCCAUAGUCCCCUGUAUAACAACCUUACGAAACAUAUUGCUAUUAGAUUUUCAAAAAAGUUAUUUAAAGAUGGUGGCUCAUCUUUCAUCUGUAUUCAUAUUUAGAGGAAACCUCCUUGGUUCUGGGAAACUGCUGAUUGCAAUGCAACAGGAUGGAGCACAUUGGGCAUGUGGCUAUCCACAGGGGGCCGCUGGGUUGUGUAGAGGACCUCCUAUAUAUGUACUGCUGGCUGUGAGUUAUACAAGGAACACCCAGUCCAGGAUGAUAACAUCGUAAUUGUGGCUGCUGUGAACUGGCCACAAUGUGGACUGGCUGACUCACUUCUCACUACUGUCAGCCCCUGGUCAGUAUAAAAGGCUUCCCAGCCUCCACUCGUCCUACAAUAGUGAGUGUCGAGCCGUGCCUUAAUACCGACAUGGACUGCAACACAUGUGUUGCGGUUGUACCACUGUGCACAUCGCCAGGCCUUCUGGGCACAAGAACCUACGCUGCAUCACCCUUGCCUUUAGGUAGCUGGCCAAGAAUGACAUGGCACAUCCAUGCGCGUAGCUAGGAUUUAUGUUAUGGAGGGCUGGACACCCACCUGUCAUCAUCCUCUGUCUAGCAAAUUCAGAAUGAAAUGUCUGAACAACAGUUGUUUUAAAUUACUCUCUUUUGACACACACACACCCCACCAAGCGCUCAGAAAAAUCUGUCAAAACCUUUCUACAACUUCUACUUUUAGUUAAGUGUUUUUAUUUAUUAACGAUGUGGGGGGGAACAGCAAGCCCCCUGCCCAUGGGCACAUCAUAGUUUUGGUCUGAUAACAGGGAUCUCCCCAUCUCUAUGCUCGGCAACACUGGUGUGCUGAAAUAGCAUUGCAACCAAGUAACUUGUUUAUGCAGGUGACGACCUAUAUCCCAUUAAAUAAAUGCUAAAGUUUUAAUAUGAAAGUCAUCUUUAAAGGAAAGAGAUCCUGUCCCAGAUGCCACAGGUCCCCUAUUUUCAAGAGGGGAACAUCACACUUCAUGGUAUAUCCAUAUAACAGAAGAUGACAAGAAAGACAGACCAGGGAAAAAUGGUGCGCAUCAAAAAAUAUGUAGCUCUCACUCUGUAUAUUCCUUGUAAUUUGAAGGUGUUGGUUCUUGGAUGUUGUAGAAAAUACAUUUUUGGCGCAAAAAAAUAAAUUUAUCUAGUAAUUCCUUUACAGCUGCAUACACAAGAACAGACACUGGCAGGAAACCACUCUCUAAAGGUAUCUGCAAAGUACUCUUUAAAAUGAGAUUUAAUCAAAGGAAUCAACCAAAGUCUCUAGAAUUAUUUUCAAAUGAAUCAAUUGAACAGAUAGAAGCUAGAAAGUUGAGAUGGAUUGUGUAAAAGGGUUAUUUUUACCAAAUGGACUGUGGAUUUUCCUGAAAUAUCCCACACCUUUAAUGUAAUAAAAUACUCAAAUGUUUCAUACUUUUUAA